rnacentral:lncRNA from 1 species
AUUUAGGUUUGAUUAGGAUAUGAGCUGAAUCUUGAACUUGCUUAGGUCUGUUACUUUUCAGAAGAGUAUUUUUAGUAACUAUUCUCAUUUUUUAAAAAAAAAUAAAGUUUAUGUCUUUUUAAAACUAAGGUCUUGAUCUUGCCUUAAUACCUAUUGCAGUCUUGAAAUAGUGAGACUGUAAGUCUGUGCUGUGUGUCCAGCUCAGUGCUAUGUUUCUGAAAAGUUGUUCUUGACACUUUCCAGGGGCAUCUAGUGCUCCAUUAGUGAUGUCGCCACUAUAAAAUGAUAACUGUCUUUUCUCUAUUUUUUGCCUCAUAGGAUAUUUUAUCGGGUGACUUCAGAGUACAACCAAAGUAAUAGUGGCGAGAUUCCGUUCUUGGUCAGUCUUUCUGAUGCAGAACUCCUGAAAUAAUUGCUACCGUGCCCCUUUACUGAAAAGACUAUACUUAUAUUCUUUCAAAUAUAUGAGGGUUCACUUUGCUUUUUAUAUUUAGCUGCUUCAAUGAAUGUCUUUACUUUUCAAAAAGAUUUUAUUUUAAACACUAUUUUUAAACUAUCACUUAUACCUGGUUUCCCUCCCUCUUUUACUGAGAAUCACAGUAUUUUGGUAAAUGUAGUUAAUAUUUAGAGAAGGAAAACACAGUACUUUGUAGAUACUUAGAAUGUAACAUCUAAAUAACAUAAUCAUAAGCUUCACAGUAUAUUUAUUCACUCACAUACCUCUUUCAGAGAACAAGUUGGUCAAAAUUAUUUACUAUAAGUACACAUUAAAAUUUUUGUCAAGGUAAAUGUUAAUAUAUUAAGAGGUGGGUAGCUUUAGAAAAUUGUUAGAAAUGAUUUUUCAUGAUCAUGUUGCCACUUAAAAAUAUUAGAGCAACUAAUCUGUCAAAAGAAUAGAGUUUGAAUAAAGUAGCACCCAUUCUUAGAAUAACAGUAUUAGUAGAGGUUGUGCAGUUAGUUGAUGGUCAUGAGGAGAUAGAACAUUUUUCAUGAAGGUUAAUUUGUACUUCUUGUGUAAUGGUGCUUUUCCAAAUGUGUUGGCUGUGGACAUCACUGAAAAUCAGUGGGAGUGGGCCCAACACAUUCAUAACGUUUUUAAAUAUCCCAAAAUAUUUUAGUGAAGCAGGAGUUGAAAAUUAAAUGCUAUUGGAAUUUUUAUACCAAAUUUUAGGGUUUUAGUAAUUACUUAUUAUGUCCUCAUAAAAAGACAUCAUUGCACAGUCUAUUUUAAUAUUCAUGUCAUAAUUUACUUGGUAUAAUUCUGAUAAAAUGUUAUUGUUAAUCUAGGUUUACUAUGUUUCCCCCUUUUAUGUGUAAUCCUAAAAUUACCAAGUUUAUUUAAAACCUUGGAAGCUUUUUCUAUUGUUGCUUUUAAGUGGGUCAUUCACAUGGUAAUAUUUUAUAAAUUACAUUUAUAUGUCAGUCUUCCAUGUCUUAGAAUGAAUCCCACAUUUCUGUAAUAAGAUUAGUAGUGAUCACUGUGAAUUUACUUGUUUUUAUUUCUAUUGUGUUUUAAAUCAAAGUCAUAUCUUAACUAUCACAACAAUAUCCCCAGAUUUUUUACCAAAACAAAAUUUAUCUACCACAUCAAGAAUUUCUGAUUAAUUGAGUAGAAACAAGAGUCUCACUAUGUGGUCCAGGUUCCAGUAUGGCCUUGCAAAUUGCUAUGUAGAACAGACUGCCCUUAGACUAAAAUGUUUUAUUCUUCAGCCUCCUGCAUGCUGGGAUUCCAUGCCCUCCUGUGUCACCAAACCAGGCAGAGGGUUUUCUUUCUCCCUCGUUUUUAAAUUUAUUUAUUCUUUCAUUGAGAGCAGUUUUUCGCUUAGAUAGUAUAUCCUGAUUAUGCUUUCCCCUCCCUCUCCUCCUCCUAGUUCCAUCCUACCCUCCCCCAGUCAAAUCCAGUCCCUUUUUGUCUCUCAGUAGUAAACAAAAAGGCUUCUAAAGGAUAGUACCAAGAUAAAACAAAAACUAUCAAAUCAGCAUACGACAAAACUAGUAAAGAAAAAUCAAAAGGUGUAAGAAACACAUGUAGAUAUAGAAACUUAUUAAUCCC